rnacentral:rRNA from 1 species
UACGAAGGGGGCUAGCGUUGUUCGGAGUUACUGGGCGUAAAGGGCGCGUAGACGGCGCACCAAGUCAGGCGUGAAAGCCCUGGGCUCAACCCGGGAAUUGCGCUUGAGACUGGUGUGCUAGAGUACGGGAGAGGAUAGUGGAAUUCCCAGUGUAGAGGUGAAAUUCGUAGAUAUUGGGAAGAACACCGGUGGCGAAGGCGGCUAUCUGGACCGUAACUGACGCUGAGGCGCGAAAGCGUGGGGAGCAAACAGG